AGGAGUUGGGAUUUCCCAACAGCUGAAUCUCCGAUCAAUACAACCUUAAAUACAUAAUCAAUCUUCUGAUUAAAAUCUACAUAAUUGGUCAUCUUCAAAUCAAAUCAAAUCCUGCUAGUUUUUCUCUCUGCUCUACAACAUAUAUAUAUAUAUAAUACAAUGUGAAAAUCUACAGAGAAAACUUGUUGAGAUCUAUGAUCUUGUCAUAAAAUGAACAAAAAGCACAGGCUGCAACAUGGGUGUUGGAAAUAAAAGCUUGAAAAA
rnacentral:misc_RNA from 1 species